UACGAAGGGGGCUAGCGUUGCUCGGAAUCACUGGGCGUAAAGCGCACGUAGGCGGCUUCUCAAGUCAGGGGUGAAAUCCUGGAGCUCAACUCCAGAACUGCCUUUGAUACUGAGGGGCUCGAGUCCGGGAGAGGUGAGUGGAACUGCGAGUGUAGAGGUGAAAUUCGUAGAUAUUCGCAAGAACACCAGUGGCGAAGGCGGCUCACUGGACCGGUAUUGACGCUGAGGUGCGAAAGCGUGGGGAGCAAACAGG
rnacentral:rRNA from 1 species